rnacentral:lncRNA from 1 species
AGAUCAUGACUGACGGCUGCUUCCAGUUCCCAGCGCAGGCUCCUGCUGCUUCUAAUGAGGCUUCGUUAGCAGUUAACACCUGUUGAUUUUCCAGUUUCUACGACGUUUGUCAGAGGGAGGAGCAUUCUCCUAUGAGAAAGACUGUCCCUUUUUCCACUCUGUCAACGUGUGGAUGUGUAUCAGCAAAAGCCAGAAGAGAGAAGAGAGAGUUAUUCCCUGAAGCCCCACCACUGGAUGACCAGGGAUCUCACCCAGGGUCAUUAUGGUGUCAAGUGGCCCUAGAAGAGCUCCAUCUUUGUGUUUUUUCUGGAAAUGAAUUUUCCUGUCAGCUACACAAGCCUAGAGGUGGUUCCCAGUGCUCCACUCCUCUGGGGACACUGUUAACAGCUCGGGCGAUGUAUUCUACACCUGCAUCUCUGCUUUUAGAAACCGCCCCUGCCCCUGAGGUGCUGGUGGAUAGAAAGAGCAUUGUGUGCAGAUCUGCUUCUCAAUGGCUCAGGGGGAAAGAGAAAACAAAACACUCGGUACAAGAAUGCAAAUGUGGUAAAAAAAAUAUUUAUAUUUGAGAAAAUCCAUAUAAAUGCAGUAUGAGGAUUCUUUGGCCUAUUCUUGGAAUCUUUCCAAAAGUCUGAACUUCUUUCAAAAUAAAAAAAAAAGUUUUAAAAGCUCU